rnacentral:ncRNA from 2 species
GCACUUCACCAGGGGGGCCCCGGCAAGGGGCUGAGAUAUCGCUGGGCGAGGUCGCCAUGAGAGGUGGCCCACGCGCGCGCAGACCCUUCGAACCUGAUCCAGUUCAUACUGGCGUAGGGACGGUGCGCGGCCGCUGGC